rnacentral:rRNA from 1 species
UCUGACGGAGCAACGCCGCUGGAGUGAUGAAGGUUUUCGGAUCGUAAAGCUCUGUUGUUAGGGAAGAACAAGUACCGUUCGAAUAGGGCGGUACCUUGACGGUACCUACCCAGAAAGCCACGGCUAACUACGUGCCCGCAGCCGCGGUAAUACGUAGGUGGCAAGCGUUGUCCGGAAUUAUUGGGCGUAAAGGGCUCGCAGGCGGUUUCUUAAGUCUGAUGUGAAAGUCCCCGGCUCAACCGGGGAGGGUCAUUGGAAACUGGGGAACUUGAGUGCAGAAGAGGAGAGUGGAAUUCCACGUGUAGCGGUGAAAUGCGUAGAGAUGUGGAGGAACACCAGUGGCGAAGGCGACUCUCUGGUCUGUAACUGACGCUGAGGAGCGAAAGCGUGGGGAGCGAACAGGAUUAGAUACCCUGGUAGUCCACGCCGUAAACGAUGAGUGCUAAGUGUUAGGGGGUUUCCGCCCCUUAGUGCUGCAGCUAACGCAUUAAGCACUCCGCCUGGGGAGUACGGUCGCAAGACUGAAACUCAAAGGAAUUGACGGGGGCCCGCACAAGCGGUGGAGCAUGUGGUUUAAUUCGAAGCAACGCGAAGAACCUUACCAGGUCUUGACAUCCUCUGACAAUCCUAGAGAUAGGACGUCCCCUUCGGGGGCAGAGUGACAGGUGGUGCAUGGUUGUCGUCAGCUCGUGUCGUGAGAUGUUGGGUUAAGUCCCGCAACGAGCGCAACCCUUGAUCUUAGUUGCCAGCAUUCAGUUGGGCACUCUAAGGUGACUGCCGGUGACAAACCGGAGGAAGGUGGGGAUGACGUCAAAUCAUCAUGCCCCUUAUGACCUGGGCUACACACGUGCUACAAUGGACAGAACAAAGGGCAGCGAAACCGCGAGGUUAAGCCAAUCCCACAAAUCUGUUCUCAGUUCGGAUCGCAGUCUGCAACUCGACUGCGUGAAGCUGGAAUCGCUAGUAAUCGCGGAUCAGCAUGCCGCGGUGAAUACGUUCCCGGGCCUUGUACACACCGCCCGUCACACCACGAGAGUUUGUAAUCAGCCCGAAGUCGGUGAGGUAACCU